rnacentral:rRNA from 1 species
UACGUAGGUGGCGAGCGUUGUCCGGAUUUACUGGGCGUAAAGGGAGCGCAGGCGGACUUUUAAGUGAGAUGUGAAAUACUCGGGCUCAACUUGAGUGCUGCAUUUCAAACUGGAAGUCUAGAGUGCAGGAGAGGAGAAUGGAAUUCCUAGUGUAGCGGUGAAAUGCGUAGAGAUUAGGAAGAACACCAGUGGCGAAGGCGGUUCUCUGGACUGUAACUGACGCUGAGGCUCGAAAGCGUGGGGAGCAAACAGG